AGAUGGCAGCCCCGGAGGCGCUGGUGGGAGGCUGUGUCCUGGGGUCCACCACUGCUCCCCGAACUCUUAGGGUCACCUGGAGCACCUUGGGAGCCAGAGAUGCAGCCAAAGAGUGAACAAUGGUACCAAUCCCAAGACCCAUGUGUUAAGAAGAAACCAGCCAAGACUCAGAUCAGGAUUGGGGAGUCCACCCCUCGUUUCCCUUCAGAGCAUUAUUUCCUUGUUUGCUAAGAGGGGCAGGAACUGGAAAACUCAGGCUAGCCCAUCUGAGAAGACUUUCCUGGAGAUGAGCUGGAGGAGGGAGGAGUAAGGCCUUGGAAGGAAACUCCAGGACAGACCUCCACUAUGAGAAGCGCUAAAGAAAGUUCUUUAGGACGGGCACGAUAGCUCACGCCUAUAAUCCCAGCAUUUUGGGAGGCCAAGGUGGGAGGAUUGCUUGAGCUCGGAAGAUGGAGGCUGCAGUGAGCCAUGACGGUGCCACUGCACUCCAGCUUGGGUGACAGAGUGAGACGCUGUCUCAAAUUGGAAGAGCAGAGCUGCAGACAGGAAUAAGAAGAACGGUAAAUUUGAAGAUGGGACCGUCUAGUUGCAAGAAAACAAGCUCAGGGCUCCCACUGAUUCUACAUUACGGGCUGUGGGUUCCUUGAGGGAGGAAUUUUGUCCUGCAGGCUGUGGCAGCCCUAGGACUCAGCACAUCUAGGUGUCCACCUGCGUCUGUGGUGAGAAGCCUGAUCAUUGCCACGUGACCGCCUCCUCACUGUUGGUACCUGGUUGUAGAGAGCAGCUCUGUGAGUAGAAGGAGAAGGAUCCUGCCCUGGAGAGGGCCUGGCUGGUCCUCACCUGGGGCCUAUCAUUUAGUAACAGGGCUUCUGGAAGUGGUAGCAGAUCUGGGCCUGGUGGGCAUUCUGCUUCUCCUGGGUGGCAGCAGAAGUCCCUAGGUGGCAGGCUGGGGACUGCCCAAAGGUUCUGACUCAGGAAGAGCACAGUGGAACAGAAAGCCCUUGUACCACCUUCGCUGCUGUAUUCGUCCAUUCUCACACUGCUGUACAGAACUACCUGAGACUGGGGAAUUCAUGAAGAGAAGAAGUUUAAUUGACUCACAGUUCUGCGGGCUUAACAGGAAGCAUGACUGGGAGGCCUCAGGAAGCUUAUAAUCAUGGCAGAAGGCGAAGGGGAAGCAAGGACCUUCUUCACAUGGCAGCAGGAGAAAGAGAAGAAGGGAGAAGUCUACACACUUUUAAACAACCAGAUCUCAUGAGAAUUCCAUCGGGAGACAGCACUAGGGGGAUGGCACUAAACCAUUAGAAACUGCCCCCAUGAUCCAAUCACCUCUCACCAGGCCCCUCCUCCAACACGUGGGGAUUACAAUUCCACAUGAGAUUUGGUUGGGGACAUAGAGCCAAAUCCUAUCAGCUGGUAUCCUCCUUUUUCCAGGCUUUAGAUAUGGCACAACCUGAUGGCUUCUGCAUAAAGCCUCCUCUCAUCUGCAUCUCUCCACCUCACUCACCCUCUUUUCAGCAAAGAACCCUCUGGCUCUAGUUUCACUGUGGUGGUCCUGGGAGAGGUAGAGAAGACCCAGAGGCUCCUUACCCUGGGAGGUCAAACUGACCAUCCAGGUUUGGCUCUUCCCUGCUGGUGUGUCUAGAACACCAUCUUCCCCUUAUUGCUGUGGACUUCAGGGCUCUGCUGCUCUGUCCUCCACAGAACUUGUCAAUCAGCUUCCUACCAGCUAAGAUCUGGUGCUGUCUGAUAUAUCCUCCCUGCGGCUUGUCACUCAUGCUGUCUAAUGGCGUGAGGUGCAUUGAGUUGUAUUCUGAUGUCUUUGUCCUUUUGAAGCCACAGAGUAAGGUCACACAACUUUGAAACGAGCAGGGUACCAUCUGAAGAUGCUGGACAUUCCUUUUAACAAUUACCUAGGGGAGAGGCAGUCCUCAGACAGGACUCAGGUGGGUGGGCCUCAAAGAGGAAGGGAAAGGGGGCAGCUGCCUGCCUCUGAACUUCACUCUCUAGACUCGUGGAAGGGUCUAGCUUAGAGCUAGGAUGGGAGGGCUGUGAGCACUGAGGAUGGAGUCAUGCCUUUUUGUGACUGGACACAUUUUUACUGCCCGAAGUCAUCUACUGCCCCCACCCCCCAACCCCAUUCUUCUGCCCACUUAGCGAAUAUUGAGGUUAUGGUCAGGAUGGGGUCAUUUGCAAUGAAAUUCAAGGUUGAGACUAUGUUGCAGUUAUCUGUCUGCUUGUAAAAAGUCACCCCCACAUUUUGUUUAAAACAGCAAGUAUGUACUAUUUCACACAGUUUCUGUGGGUCAGGAAUCCAGAAGCGGCUGAGAUGGGUAGUUUAGGAUCAGGGUCUCUCACAAGGCUUUGGUCCAGGUGCAGGCUGCAGUCCUCCAGAGGCGGGACUGGGGCUGGAGGUCUGCUUCCAGACGGUCACUCACAUGGAUGUGGGCAGGCGGCCUCAGUUCCCUGCCACAUGGCCCUCCUCAUAGGACGCUUGAGUGUCCUCGCGGCAUAGCAGCUGGCUUUCCCCAGAGUGACCCAAGGUGGAAAGAACAAGGCAGAGGUGACAGUGUCUUUUAUAAGCCAGCCUUGGAAGUGACGUAGCAUCAUUUCUGCCUUAUUCCAUUGGUCACACAGACAACCCGAUGUGGAAGGAGACAUCACAAGGACAGGAAUACUGGGAAGCAGGUAUUGUUGGUGGCUGUCUCGGACGCUGGUUCUCAUAGAAGUAGAUGUAUUAUUUUAGUACAAUAAGUGCAGACGAUCAGCUAGCAGGAUGUUAUUUUUGCUGGGUAUGGUUGUAUUUCAGGUGCAUUUACCCAAAUCCAGAGUACCUUUGGGGGCUCUGACCCUCUCCUCCUCCACCUUGAGAUCUGUAGAGGCCUCUCGUUCAUCCCACCAAGAGCAGGACUGGACAGAUGAAAGCAUGGCUUACAGGAGGCCAACACAAUAGGAGGUAGGGCUUUGGGAAGACAGCAUAGGUUUCAAAAGAACCAAGAAGCUGUUGAAAAGGAGAGCAGAUGGGCAGGGAAGACAAGUCCCAGAUAGAAUGCCCUUUGCAACCUAGGGGGAGCUGACCACAGUGUGCAUCCUGACACUCGAAGACAAGGUCUCCAUCAGCAGAUUGCCCAACAGAACAAGUUCAGAGCCCAGAGAUCCCAGUUCCAGAUCUCAGAUCUCCCACACCCUGUGGGCUCUGUGUGGACUUUCGUCCUGAAACAAAGUCCUUUAGUAAAGGACUCUUUAAAUUCACUCCAUCUGUGCUUUGCUUGCCAAUAGCAGGGUGCGUCUGUUACAUACUGGACUAUCCCUUCCUUCAAUAUGUUCAUGGCUGAGGCUGCAUUUGUGCCUCAGAUAAUCAAGGUGAGUAUAACUCUCUGUUCUGUUUCCCUUUUGUUUCCUCCAAGACUUUAAUAAACCCUCAUUCAAGAGGCCCACCUUGUCCCACCUGUGCUUCUCAGAAAAGAAGGAGUGGUGGGGAGACAGGCUGGGGUGGGGGCUUUGCCACCUGGCUGCCCCUUCACCUGUGGGUUCUUGCUCCAAUGAGGACCCAGCAGGAUAAGCUUUAGUUUCAUUAAGGGUGACAAUAGUUUCCUUACAGCUGGGUCAAGGAUAUGAGCGAGCCUCUUCCGAAAACAGCCGGGAAGGGAGAGGAAUCCAAGAGGAGGAGCAGGUGGGAAAGACAAGACAGAAGGUGGAUCGGGACCAGGCCUGGGAGGGAGCACAGGCACACAGAAGUGAAAGAAUUCGCCUGAGGUUACACGACUCCUCGAGCGGUGCCUUUAGCUCUGCAUUGUGCCACCUGCCUGGGUCAAGGAAGAUGCCACCGCUGUUGUUCUGUGUACAGAGAGGGAAAGGAAGAUGCUGGCUCUCAGCAGUUCUAUAGAACAGAGGAUGGAGAGGCCACACGACAAUAGGCACACGCACCGUACAUUGAAGAAGUGCAUGCAAGACAGAAUCGUGUGGGAUAUGCACACUUGCGUGGAAGAAAAACUGUUCCAUUCACAUUGAGAAGAAGAAGAAGAAGAGGAGGAGGAGGAGGAGGAAGAAGAAAGAUGGUGAGAUAUCCUGCAGGAGACCAGGGCCAGGAGGGUGGAGGCCUCUCAAGAAGAGGGAAGCAUGAGGAAGCUCCAGGGCAGGAUGGUUUACCUGCCUGGACAGCAAGAUGAUGGCUACACUAGCCCCCAUUCUCUGGUCAGUUAUAUCACAGUCCUUCACAGGGCGCCUGGAUUUGCCCACCAGAUCUCCUCACCUCUUGCCCUUCACCUCCUGCUGUACCUACAAGGUCUCCCCGAUUCUCAUCUGCCCAUAAUCAUGGACACAGCCCCAGGAUGUGCAGGACUCUCAGGGACCAUCUGGAGUUCCAGCUGGAAUCUGGGCCUGGUGGAGUGGGAGUGGGGCAGGGGCCUGCAUUGGGCUGACUUAGAGAGCACAGUUAUUCCAUCCAUAUGGAAAUAAACAUUUUGGAUUCCUGAUCACAUCCCUGGAGUUUAAGACUCUGGCCAACCAAGUCAACUCCACAACUUUGUGUGUCCCUGGGAGGGUCUGGUGUGGGACCCACCUGUCUGUGGCCCUCGUCCCCUCCCCUGCCCUUUCUCCACUCACAUCUUGGUCCCUCUGGUGAUUAUCUCUUCCCUCUGAGGACAGAUGGAACCUGAUUUGAAUGAGGGGUAAUGGUCUUGUGAGGACCAGGACAUGGAUUGGGUGUGUGUUUAUAUGUGUGUGUGUGUAUGUGUGUGUGUGUGUGGUGGGAAUGGAAUAUCAGAGAAGGUGGUGGAGGAGGGAGGAUUGAAUUUGGAGAAUCCCUGGCUUCUAGUGUCCGCAGGGGAAACAGCAGCUCCAGCUUCCCACAGCGGUCCCCUCCCCUCUGCAGGUCGAGCUCCCACCCUCUUGGAAAUGCCUCUGAAGCUGCAUAGUCCUCCCCUGAUGCUUGUGCUCCCUUAGGGGAUCUCCAGGCCUUUGGGUGUGGUCUGGCCCCUGGAGAAGUGUGGUCGAGUGGAGGAUGGGGUCCUGCAGUGGCCAUGUUCUGGACGCCCACAUCACGGGGAGUUUUGAGGGAUUGAGCCCACUUUAGCUUGGGUCUUAAAACCACCAUGGUAAGAAGUGUCAACCUUUGGGGGAAAAAUAAAAAUAUAUAGAAAUAUUUAGAAAAACCCACCAUGGGGGCCUACAAGUUCCUGAGUCAAGGCCUCUGCCGAGACUCCACUGACCAGCAUGGUCACUGAAGGGCAUGGAGGACCGUCCUGUGGGAAGAGGCUUGGACAUGCACUGUGAACUCAAGAGCAAGGACACUGUGUUGAUCUGGAGAUGUGGGCAAUGGGCGAGUACACACGGAGCAUCCUCCUGUGCCUUGGAAUGGGACAAGGUGGAUUCCAGCAGCCCUCAGAGCUUCUGCUGGGUGGCUUUGCAAAGAAGGGGCUUUCCACUCUACUGUGGACAUCUGCAGAGAUUGGGCAGGGAAUAAGAUUUUCCAUUCAACCCUGAGUUCCUUUUUUUUUUCUAUUCCAAAUUCAUUCCAGAGCAUGUGGUAGGAUCAGUAUCACAAGCCCCUAGUUCUUGGCCAGAGCCCUAGUGACUGUCUUGUGUGCAUGGGGGGGCCAGCCGUUGCAGGAAGAUGGGUCAAGAGUCUUCAUCUGAUGAGGGCCAGGGACUUUCCAACUCCCUCAACCCUUCCCCCAGGCUCUUUUCCCACCCUCACAUUGAGCCCUCUUCACUCUGAUAGUUGGGCCCCCUAGGACUUUUAUUCUGAAAGAGCCAAGGCCCCUGGAGGUGGAGAGGAGGCCAGAGGCUGGAGCUGGCCUUGACCCUGAGCCAGCUCCACCCUUCUGGGCUGUUUUCCAAGGCAGCAACUCUGGGACCCUUGCUGUCCUCAGCUCUCCUCUUUAUCUCUGGUCUCCAGCCUUGCUGGCCUUUGAGCAGAGGGUCCCUAUAGCCAGGACUGCUGGGCUUCUCCCUCCUAUGCCUUCACACCCCUGUAUUACUGUCUUUUAUUCCUUGACCUCACAUCCUCCGUCUACUUCCUUUUUCAGCUUUUUCUGGCUUUCUUGCUGCUUGCCCUUCCCAAAGCAGACACGGAGGACAGGUCACCAUUUAGAAGCUCCCCGCCUCCCCAAGCACUGGACAAAGGUCUUACCCCAUUCCAUCCCUCAUUCCCAACACAUAGGAUGGAAGUAUCAAAUGGCCAGAUGCCUUCAGAUGUCAGAACCGUGGAGUCCGUUGAACCCUGUGUGUGGGGGGCUGUGUCUUGGGCCUGGUUUUGUUGAGCACAUGAGACUUUCUCAAGGAUAAGGACAAAGAAAUGGACAAAAAGACUCUGCCAGUAGCCCCUGUUUAAACUCUUGAACCCCAGUCACAGUUUUCCAGAAGUCCAUCAGGAUAGAAUUUUCACUAAUCGCCAAAUGCCCAAAGCUUAGUUCUUUCUUAGAAGGAAAAGAAGAGGUCAAAUGGACAGGAGAGAGCGGAGAUUGGUUGUUCUCAGGGGCUCCUUCCCUUUGCCUGCUUCUUUCAUUUGGGACGCCAGACCUUGACCUGGAAGUGAGGUCACUAUUGGGCAGUGGAGUGUGAGAAAGGACUUUGGCCUGGGGGCUGCAAGUUACAGAUUAACACGGGGAGGGGUGAGGAGGGACCCAGAGGGAGGAAAGGUGGCCAGAGGAAGGGACAGCUGACCUGGCACAAUCUGGGCUUGAAGGGGGCACAACAAGAGCGUCUGUGAGCUGGUGCUGUCUGGAGGGAUCUUGGCUCCUCUCCGGCUAUCUGACCUUCCUGAAGACCUGCUCGCACACUGCAUCCCUUGCAGUCAGUUCCUGGGGAGAGAGGGGAAGUGAGGGGGAGAGAGAAAGAGGGCGUUUGCCAGCCAGAGCCCCUUUCUCAAGGUCCUUGACCUCCAUUUACUCCUUCCGGAUACAGCAGCUUGAGUGUUUGAUGUAUGGGCAAUUGUAUCAUUAUUCCACAUCCUCAACUUUCCACCCCUCAGGAAGGAAGGUGGCUGGGUCAGGGGAUGUGAGUGGCUGAAGCCUCCAUCUCGCCAGUGAUGAUUUAUGGGCAUUCAUCCGACUCGUAGCCAGGGCCCACCUUGGCCACUCUGUUUCUUCCUCUCCCCACUCCUCCCAGUGCUUUUGCUUUCCCUCCCUGGUCAAUUCCUUGGAUAGGGAUUGGGGCUGGGCUGGGGGAAGAGUGGUGGACCUAUCUGGUUUGGACAAGGGGAUGCCUUAUAGCUGGAGGCCCUUCUCCCAGACACCCAGCCCCCACCCCAUUUACCAGAUACAGCAUCUCUCCCUCCAGCCAGUGUCUCCAGCCCCGGUUGGGGACCUCCCCUUUCUGCACACACACCAGGUGCUCCUCCUCCCAGGUUACUAUGGUCUAUAGGGGAAAGAGGGAGUAAAGAAAGAUUAGGAGGCAGGACACUCAAAAUGCUUCCCAUCUCACUCUGAAUGGGCUCCCCCUUUUACUCCACAGCAGAUACUGUCUGCUGCAGCCCCUCCACUGAGCGAGGGAGCUGCUCUGAUUCAGCAGGACUCCCUUUCCACCCUACUCUUUGUUUUUUGUGUUUUUUUGAGACAAGUUCUUGCUCUGUCACCCAGGCUGGAGUGCAGUGGCAGGAUCUCGGCUCACUGCAACCUCUGCCUCCUGGGUUCAAGUGAAUCUCAUGCCUCAGCUACCAGAGUAGCUGGGAUUACAGGCGUGCACCAACAUACCGGGUUAAUUUUUGUAUUUUUAGUAGAGACAGGGUUUCUCCAUGUUGGCCAGGCUGGACUUAAACUCCUGAGCUCAAGUGAUCCGCCCGCCACCGCUUCCUAAAGUGCUGUGACUAUAGGCAUGAACCAUCACACCCAGCUUUCCACUCCUAAAGGUCACCGAGGGGGGCCCAAAGUUGUCUACAGUGACCUUUAGGGGAGAGCAGGGGUGGUAGCAGGAUAAGUAGAGGUGAAAUUGGGGAGGGCAUUUAUGAAGAAUGGAGACUUUUUCCUCUGGAUACUUCUGGCUGACCUAGAGGGACUUUUGAGAAAAAAGAGAGAUUGGUUGGGAAUCCUACCAGGUAAUCUCAUUUCUCCUCUUUCUCGGUUUCAAGAACAGCUGAAGUAUCCUUAGAAAUAAAGGGUCAGCCCCUCUGGGCCUGAGCAUUCCAAUCAACCUUUAUUGAGUUCUCCUUUAGGAUAGGCCCCAAACAAGGAGCUCAGAGUCUUGAAGAGAUAGAGGAUCAGUAAAUAGGUAACUGUGACACCAGGCAAGAGUGAGGGAUGGCAGUGGGGCGGGCAGAGUGAAAUCUUUAAGGAAGUUGGGAGUUAAUUAGAUUGGAGAGAAUGGGAAAUUUCUAGCAAGGAAAGAAACAGCUAGAAAUAGCGGUAAAAGAGAAAGGCAAUUAGUUCUGAAGGGCUCUAACCUAGAGUAUAUGUGGUGGAGGCAAUUGAAGAGUUGAUUCACAGAGACCCUUGUAUGCUGAGUUAAGUGUAACAGAUGAUGUAAUGUAAUAGAUCAUCACUGAAAGGGUGUAAGUCAGAGAGUGACAUGAUCACAUUUAUGUUUUAAGUAGACCCUGUGGCUACAGCAUGCAGAUUAGAGGAGGGUUAAGCGUGAGAACCAGCUGGGUGCAGUGGCUUAGGCCCGUAAUCUCAGCAUUUGGGAGGCUGAGGCGGGAGAAUCACUUGAAGUCAAGAGUUUGAGACCAGCCUGGGCAACACAGUGAGACCCCACCUCUACCAAAAAAAAAAAAACACAAAAACACAAAAAAGCAAUUUCAGGCACCAGGAAAUGAAGGCCUGAAUUAGGGUGGUGAUAGAGAAAGGUUAGGAGGGAACACAGGAGAGCCAUUUAGAAGAGUGAUGCUCAACAGAAAUAAAAUGGGUCAGGAGCCAUAUUAGAAAAGUAAAGAGAAAUAGGGGAAAUUAAUUUAAAUAAUAUAUUUUAGUUAACCAAAAAUAUUCAAAAUAUUAUUAUUUCGGCAUGCAGCCAAUAUAAACAUUUCCGAAAUGCUUCUUUUUAUUUGGCAUUGUCUGAAAGUCCACUUACAGCAUCUAGAUUUGGACUAGUUAUAUUUCAAGUAUUCAACGGCCAUCUGAAGUUAGCAGCUGCUAUACUGGGUAAUGCAGAAAAGCUACAAAGAUUUCUUGGCCGAUUAGAUGUGGUGGUGGUGGUGGUGGUGGUGUGUGUGUGUGUGUGUGUGUGUGUGUGUGUGUGUGUGUGUGUGUGUGCUGGGAGCCUAGAGGUAAGGAAACAAGAGAUAUUGACCAUGACUCCCAGGUCUCUGGCCUGGCUGGUUAUUGCCAUUAGUGGAGAGAGUAGAUAUAAAAGUGGGGUAGGUUUGGAUAGGAAGACAGUGAAUUUGAAUUUGACCUUGGCAUUCAAAUGGAAAUUGGUUCCAGGACCCCCACCUCACUAAAUCUGCUGAAUAAAAUGGCUUAGUAUCUGUAGAGAAACUACAUACAUCCCCCUGUGUACUUUAUUAUUAUCAUUUUGAUACAGAGUCUUGCUCUGUCACCCAGACUAGAAUGCAAUGGCAUGAUCUUGGCUCACUGCAACCUCUGGCUCCCGGGUUCAAGUAAUUCUCCUGCCUCAGCCUCCCAAGUAGCUGGG
rnacentral:lncRNA from 1 species